rnacentral:misc_RNA from 1 species
AACUUUUGACAAUGGAUCUCGCAUCGAUGAAGAACGCAGCGAAAUGCGAUAAGUAAUGUGAAUUGCAGAAUUCAGUGAAUCAUCGAAUCUUUGAACGCAUCUUGCGCUCCUUGGUAUUCCGAGGAGCAUGCCUGUUUGAGUGUCAUUAAAUUCUGUCAAAACAUGCACUUGAGUGUGUUUUUGCUUGUGGGCGUUUCAGCAGGCUUUUUUAUGAUUAUUUAAUACCAGCUCUCGUGAGCGACAUCAGCAUUCGGGCGAUGUGGCUAGUCACUUCUGCCAUUCUAUUGACAUGAUAGAUGAAUAACCUUAUCGACGCCAGGAGAGCAGAUUGCAGGUGAAAGCAUUGUGAUCUCUCCGCUCUCUUGCUAUCAUCUGUCUGUUACGUAGACCUCAACGCAGCUAAGACAAGCCACAGCAAAGUGGACAAUUAAUAAGAGUAGCCU